GUAAGGAAUAUUGGUCAAUGGAGGCAACUCUGAACCAGCCAUGCCGCGUGCAGGAAGACGGCCCUCUGGGUUGUAAACUGCUUUUAUCUAGGAAUAAACCUACUUACGUGUAAGUAGCUGAAUGUACUAGAAGAAUAAGGAUCGGCUAACUCCGUGCCAGCAGCCGCGGUAAUACGGAGGAUCCAAGCGUUAUCCGGAUUUAUUGGGUUUAAAGGGUGCGUAGGCGGCCUAUUAAGUCAGGGGUGAAAGACGGUAGCUCAACUAUCGCAGUGCCCUUGAUACUGAUGGGCUUGAAUGAACUAGAGGUAGGCGGAAUGUGACAAGUAGCGGUGAAAUGUUUAGAUAUGUCACAGAACACCGAUUGCGAAGGCAGCUUACUAUGGUUUUAUUGACGCUGAGGCACGAAAGCGUGGGGAUCAAACAGGAUUAGAUACCCCUGUAGUCC
rnacentral:rRNA from 1 species